CACGAAAGUGUGCCGAAGCGCAUAUGCGCGCGGGGGAACCAAAUGUUUUCGGGGUGUAUCUUGCAAAAGACGGUCAGCUCUUGGCCGAACCCGUCAGCUAACCUCGCAGGCGGAAGGGAGCAUGA
rfam:Negativicoccus succinicivorans DORA_17_25 Q612_NSC00210, whole genome shotgun sequence.